rnacentral:rRNA from 1 species
UACGAAGGGGGCGAGCGUUGUUCGGAAUUACUGGGCGUAAAGGGCGCGCAGGCGGCGCGAGAAGUCAGGCGUGAAAGCCCUGGGCUCAACCCGGGAAUUGCGCUUGAGACUGGUGUGCUCGAGUACGGGAGAGGAUAGUGGAAUUCCCAGUGUAGAGGUGAAAUUCGUAGAUAUUGGGAAGAACACCAGUGGCGAAGGCGGCUAUCUGGACCGUAACUGACGCUGAGGCGCGAAAGCGUGGGGAGCAAACAGG